GGGUUGUGAGGUUAAGCGACUAAGCGUACACGGUGGAUGCCCUGGCAGUCAGAGGCGAUGAAGGACGUGCUAAUCUGCGAUAAGCGUCGGUAAGGUGAUAUGAACCGUUAUAACCGGCGAUUUCCGAAUGGGGAAACCCAGUGUGUUUCGACACACUAUCAUUAACUGAAUCCAUAGGUUAAUGAGGCGAACCGGGGGAACUGAAACAUCUAAGUACCCCGAGGAAAAGAAAUCAACCGAGAUUCCCCCAGUAGCGGCGAGCGAACGGGGAGCAGCCCAGAGCCUGAAUCAGUGUGUGUGUUAGUGGAAGCGUCUGGAAAGGCGUGCGAUACAGGGUGACAGCCCCGUACACAAAAAUGCACAUGCUGUGAGCUCGAUGAGUAGGGCGGGACACGUGGUAUCCUGUCUGAAUAUGGGGGGACCAUCCUCCAAGGCUAAAUACUCCUGACUGACCGAUAGUGAACCAGUACCGUGAGGGAAAGGCGAAAAGAACCCCGGCGAGGGGAGUGAAAAAGAACCUGAAACCGUGUACGUACAAGCAGUGGGAGCACGCUUAGGCGUGUGACUGCGUACCUUUUGUAUAAUGGGUCAGCGACUUAUAUUCUGUAGCAAGGUUAACCGAAUAGGAGAGCCGAAGGGAAACCGAGUCUUAACUGGGCGUUAAGUUGCAGGGUAUAGACCCGAAACCCGGUGAUCUAGCCAUGGGCAGGUUGAAAGUUGGGUAACACUAACUGGAGGACCGAACCGACUAAUGUUGAAAAAUUAGCGGAUGACUUGUGGCUGGGGGUGAAAGGCCAAUCAAACCGGGAGAUAGCUGGUUCUCCCCGAAAGCUAUUUAGGUAGCGCCUCGUGAAUUCAUCUCCGGGGGUAGAGCACUGUUUCGGCAAGGGGGUCAUCCCGACUUACCAACCCGAUGCAAACUGCGAAUACCGGAGAAUGUUAUCACGGGAGACACACGGCGGGUGCUAACGUCCGUCGUGAAGAGGGAAACAACCCAGACCGCCAGCUAAGGUCCCAAAGUCAUGGUUAAGUGGGAAACGAUGUGGGAAGGCCCAGACAGCCAGGAUGUUGGCUUAGAAGCAGCCAUCAUUUAAAGAAAGCGUAAUAGCUCACUGGUCGAGUCGGCCUGCGCGGAAGAUGUAACGGGGCUAAACCAUGCACCGAAGCUGCGGCAGCGACACUAUGUGUUGUUGGGUAGGGGAGCGUUCUGUAAGCCUGUGAAGGUGUGCUGUGAGGCAUGCUGGAGGUAUCAGAAGUGCGAAUGCUGACAUAAGUAACGAUAAAGCGGGUGAAAAGCCCGCUCGCCGGAAGACCAAGGGUUCCUGUCCAACGUUAAUCGGGGCAGGGUGAGUCGACCCCUAAGGCGAGGCCGAAAGGCGUAGUCGAUGGGAAACAGGUUAAUAUUCCUGUACUUGGUGUUACUGCGAAGGGGGGACGGAGAAGGCUAUGUUGGCCGGGCGACGGUUGUCCCGGUUUAAGCGUGUAGGCUGGUUUUCCAGGCAAAUCCGGAAAAUCAAGGCUGAGGCGUGAUGACGAGGCACUACGGUGCUGAAGCAACAAAUGCCCUGCUUCCAGGAAAAGCCUCUAAGCAUCAGGUAACAUCAAAUCGUACCCCAAACCGACACAGGUGGUCAGGUAGAGAAUACCAAGGCGCUUGAGAGAACUCGGGUGAAGGAACUAGGCAAAAUGGUGCCGUAACUUCGGGAGAAGGCACGCUGAUAUGUAGGUGAAGCGACUUGCUCGUGGAGCUGAAAUCAGUCGAAGAUACCAGCUGGCUGCAACUGUUUAUUAAAAACACAGCACUGUGCAAACACGAAAGUGGACGUAUACGGUGUGACGCCUGCCCGGUGCCGGAAGGUUAAUUGAUGGGGUUAGCCGCAAGGCGAAGCUCUUGAUCGAAGCCCCGGUAAACGGCGGCCGUAACUAUAACGGUCCUAAGGUAGCGAAAUUCCUUGUCGGGUAAGUUCCGACCUGCACGAAUGGCGUAAUGAUGGCCAGGCUGUCUCCACCCGAGACUCAGUGAAAUUGAACUCGCUGUGAAGAUGCAGUGUACCCGCGGCAAGACGGAAAGACCCCGUGAACCUUUACUAUAGCUUGACACUGAACAUUGAGCCUUGAUGUGUAGGAUAGGUGGGAGGCUUUGAAGUGUGGACGCCAGUCUGCAUGGAGCCGACCUUGAAAUACCACCCUUUAAUGUUUGAUGUUCUAACGUUGACCCGUAAUCCGGGUUGCGGACAGUGUCUGGUGGGUAGUUUGACUGGGGCGGUCUCCUCCUAAAGAGUAACGGAGGAGCACGAAGGUUGGCUAAUCCUGGUCGGACAUCAGGAGGUUAGUGCAAUGGCAUAAGCCAGCUUGACUGCGAGCGUGACGGCGCGAGCAGGUGCGAAAGCAGGUCAUAGUGAUCCGGUGGUUCUGAAUGGAAGGGCCAUCGCUCAACGGAUAAAAGGUACUCCGGGGAUAACAGGCUGAUACCGCCCAAGAGUUCAUAUCGACGGCGGUGUUUGGCACCUCGAUGUCGGCUCAUCACAUCCUGGGGCUGAAGUAGGUCCCAAGGGUAUGGCUGUUCGCCAUUUAAAGUGGUACGCGAGCUGGGUUUAGAACGUCGUGAGACAGUUCGGUCCCUAUCUGCCGUGGGCGCUGGAGAACUGAGGGGGGCUGCUCCUAGUACGAGAGGACCGGAGUGGACGCAUCACUGGUGUUCGGGUUGUCAUGCCAAUGGCACUGCCCGGUAGCUAAAUGCGGAAGAGAUAAGUGCUGAAAGCAUCUAAGCACGAAACUUGCCCCGAGAUGAGUUCUCCCUGACUCCUUGAGAGUCCUGAAGGAACGUUGAAGACGACGACGUUGAUAGGCCGGGUGUGUAAGCGCAGCGAUGCGUUGAGCUAACCGGUACUAAUGAACCGUGAGGCUUAACCUUACAACGCCGAAGGUGUUU
rnacentral:rRNA from 1 species